GAUGAACGCUAGCGGCAGGCCUAACACAUGCAAGUCGAGGGAGAAGCCCUUUCGGGGGCAGAAACCGGCGCACGGGUGCGUAACGCGUAUGCAACCUACCUUUCACAGGGGGAUAGCCCGAAGAAAUUUGGAUUAAUACCCCAUAAUAUUAUUGGAUGGCAUCAUUUGAUAAUUAAAACUGCGGUGGUGAAAGAUGGGCAUGCGUCCUAUUAGCUAGUUGGAGUGGUAACGGCACCCCAAGGCUACGAUAGGUAGGGGUCCUGAGAGGGAGAUCCCCCACACUGGUACUGAGACAGGGACCAGACUCCUACGGGAGGCAGCAGUGAGGAAUAUUGGUCAAUGGUCGGAAGACUGAACCAGCCAUGCCGCGUGCAGGAAGAAUGCCUUAUGGGUUGUAAACUGCUUUUAUAUGGAAGAAUAAGGCGUACGUGUACGUUGAUGACGGUACCAUAUGAAUAAGCAUCGGCUAACUCCGUG
rnacentral:rRNA from 1 species